AUUCUUUUUACGUAGAAGUAGAGUUAGUGAAAAUGAAUGAAAAAGGCGAUGAUGAAAUUAUUGAUCGAAUCUCGAGUUUACCAGAAGUUCUGAUUCAUCAUAUCCUGUCGUGGGUUCCGGCCGUGGAUGUGGUUCGGAUGAGUGUACUCUUCUCAAGUUGAAAUCAGUCCACUCAGCUGAAGUGAUGGCCCCCAUGGAAACCCCAAAUCUAGUUUCCUUCUCCUAUAAAGGUGAUCUUGAGUUUGGCAUGACCAUAAUCUCACCACCAAAUGAUCAAUUGAAUGGUACUUUCGUAAUUAGUGGUACCUUGCCAAAUGAUCAAUUGAUUUUGGGCACUUCUAUGGUGCAUUUCCUUAUCAGCAUCAAUUGCCCCUGGAAAAUUUUAAGCCUGGAAGCUCAGCCAGAACAGGUUUUCCUCUUCCCUGAAGAGUUUAAAAGAAGAAGUCAUCGACCAAUGACAAACCUUAAGUACCUGAAGGUCAAGACUUUCGAAAGAUUGGAAGACGAAUCUAAGUUGAAAUACUCUUUAUAUUGGGUUUCGCCUCAUUUGGACACACUACUAAUUGAAGAAGGAACAAAGAGUGAGUUAAUGUUAUUCUAGUUUGCUUCUUUAUGUCUUGAAAGAUGUAUAAUUAGAAGAUUGUAGUAUGUGUUGCAUCAAAUGCUGAGUUUUCUUCUUAUUUUUUAUAUUUUGGAAUAAUAUCAAUUGGAUUCUACAUUUAGUACUGCUCAUUUUAGUUGGAA